UAACGAGCAACUUUGUGACUAGCUUAAACCUUUCCAAAGGUAAAGUGGGGCUUAAUGAGAAACAUAUCCCACUUUGGCAAACACUCUACCUAGAAACUGAUAGAAAAGCAAGUGCUGUCUUUGGCCAAGUUGUGCCAAGAGGCUCAAGCACUUAUUCCUUCCUUCAUUUCACCAAUCUCUGAGUAACCACCUUGUAGCAGACAUCACAUGAAGUACUGUGGACCCAAACACAGCCUGUGACCUUGAGCAGCUGCUUAUCAGCAAACAGAGACUCAGCAGUGUUUAUAGCAACACUGCAUGGAGGUGCAGAACAUAUUCCAGGAAGAAUGUUGGAACUGUAUUAAGAAGCCCUACUCCUGCCAGGGGCCCUGGAGCAGGGUGUGCUACCCAAGAGGUAGAUGAGACCAGGCAACCCACAACCUACUGUGCUUUGGCUCUGUGUAGAAAGGCUGGUGAGUUCUCCUAGAAGGCAUGCUCUUACUGUGGAGAAAGCUACCCCAGGACUCUGAUACAGAGCUCCUUAGGGGGACAAAGACUCUCUUGAGAUGAGACUGAAAUCCCCUGUGGCCACCUCCUUGGCACGUUCCCGUCUCUGAAGCCCUGACAACAUUGCUCCUUAGCCCUCACUAUCACACUGUGAGAAUAGAGGUAGCCUCCUUGACUUCUUUGUAAAAGACCACCCUCACCUGAACUUGGCUUAAAAACAUCAAAGAGAAGAAUAAGAAAUAAAGGUUUCAAGCAGA